CCUACGGGUGGCUGCAGUCGAGAAUCUUCCGCAAUGGACGAAAGUCUGACGGAGCGACGCCGCGUGCGGGAUGAAGGCCCUUGGGUUGUAAACCGCUGUCAGAGGGGAUGAAAUCAUGGUUGGCUAUCCUUCCAUGUUGACAGAGCCUCAGAGGAAGCACGGGCUAAGUACGUGCCAGCAGCCGCGGUAACACGUACUGUGCGAACGUUAUUCGGAAUCACUGGGCUUAAAGGGUACGUAGGCGGUUUGGCAAGUCAGAUGUGAAAUGCCACAGCUCAACUGUGGCACUGCGUUUGAAACUGCCAGACUAGAGUAUUUCAGGGGUGUGCGGAACUUAUGGUGGAGCGGUGAAAUGCGUUGAUAUCAUGAGGAACACCGGAGGCGAAGGCGGCACACUGGGGAAUUACUGACGCUGAGGUACGAAAGCCAGGGUAGCGAAC
rnacentral:rRNA from 1 species